rnacentral:rRNA from 1 species
UAGCUAUUUAGGUUAGAGUUUGAUCCUGGCUCAGGACGAACGCUGGCGGCGUGCCUAAUACAUGCAAGUCGAGCGGACGUUUUUGAAGCUUGCUUCAAAAACGUUAGCGGCGGACGGGUGAGUAACACGUGGGCAACCUGCCUUAUCGACUGGGAUAACUCCGGGAAACCGGGGCUAAUACCGGAUAACAUCUAGCACUUCCUGGUGCAAGAUUAAAAGAGGGCCUUCGGGCUCUCACGAUGAGAUGGGCCCGCGGCGCAUUAGCUAGUUGGAGAGGUAAUGGCUCCCCAAGGCGACGAUGCGUAGCCGACCUGAGAGGGUGAUCGGCCACACUGGGACUGAGACACGGCCCAGACUCCUACGGGAGGCAGCAGUAGGGAAUCUUCCGCAAUGGACGAAAGUCUGACGGAGCAACGCCGCGUGAGUGAUGAAGGGUUUCGGCUCGUAAAGCUCUGUUAUGAGGGAAGAACACGUACCGUUCGAAUAGGGCGGUACCUUGACGGUACCUCAUCAGAAAGCCACGGCUAACUACGUGCCAGCAGCCGCGGUAAU